rnacentral:tRNA from 1 species
UCCCUGAUAGCACAGUUGGUAAAGAGUCUGCCUGCAAUGCAGGAGACCCAGGUUCAAUUCCUGAGUUGGGAA